rnacentral:rRNA from 1 species
AGAGUGAACGCUGGCGGUAGGCCUAACACAUGCAAGUCGAACGGCAGCACAGUGGUAGCAAUACCAUGGGUGGCGAGUGGCGGACGGGUGAGGAAUACAUCGGAAUCUACCUUUUCGUGGGGGAUAACGUAGGGAAACUUACGCUAAUACCGCAUACGCCCUUCGGGGGAAAGCCGGGGAUCGCAAGACCUGGCGCGGAUAGAUGAGCCGAUGUCGGAUUAGCUAGUUGGUGAGGUAAUGGCUCACCAAGGCGACGAUCCGUAGCUGGUCUGAGAGGAUGAUCAGCCACACUGGAACUGAGACACGGUCCAGACUCCUACGGGAGCAGCAGUGGGGAAUUUGGACAAGUGGGCGAAAGCCGUAGAUCCAGCAAUGCCGCGUG